CCAAUAGCGUAUAUUAAAGUUGUUGCAGUUAAAAAGCUCGUAGUUGAAUUUUAGGCCUGGCCGGGCGGUCCGUCUUUGGCGAGUACUGUCUUGUUGUCGGGUCUUCCUUCUGGUGAACCAGCAUGUCCUUUAUUGGGUGUGUUGGGGAGCCAGGACCAUUACCUUGAAAAAAUUAGAGUGUUUAAAGCGGGCUAUUGCUUGAAUAGAUUAGCAUGGAAUAAUAGAAUAGGACGUUGUGGUUCUAUUUUGUUGGUUUCUAGGACCACCGUAAUGAUUAAUAGGGAUAGUUGGGGGCAUUAGUAUUCAAUUGUCAGAGGUGAAAUUCUUGGAUUUAUUGAAGACUAACUACUGCGAAAGCAUUUGCCAAGGAUGUUUUCAUUAAUCAAGAACGAAAGUUAGGGGAUCGAAGACGGUCAGAUACCGUCGUAGUCUUAACCAUAAACUAUGCCGACUAGGAAUCGGGCGACGUUAUUCUCAUGACUCGCUCGGCGCCUUAUG
rnacentral:rRNA from 1 species